AAGUGGUAGCAAUACCAUGAGUAAAGCGGCGCACGGGUGAGUAACACGUGACUAACCUACCCUCGAGUGGGGAAUAACUUCGGGAAACCGAGGCUAAUACCGCAUAAUACCCACGGGUCAAAAGAGCAAUCUGCUUGAGGAGGGGGUCGCGGCCGAUUAGUUAGUUGGCGGGGUAAUGGCCCACCAAGACGAUGAUCGGUAUCCGGCCUGAGAGGGCGCACGGACACACUGGAACUGAAACACGGUCCAGACUCCUACGGGAGGCAGCAGUGGGGAAUUUUGCGCAAUGGGGGAAACCCUGACGCAGCAACGCCGCGUGGAGGAUGAAGUCCUUCGGG
rnacentral:rRNA from 1 species